AGCAUAGCAACAGCAGCGUAGCUGAACAUCUUACGGAUGGCCCAGGGCUCCAAAGGCUCGUUUCCUAAGUGAGAGAGAGCCUGGCUGAAGCUGUAUUACCAUUCAUUCUCCAGCCUCCGAAGUCUCAAAGCAUCACUUCCACCAUACUCUAACUGUCAAGACAAACACAAAGGCCCAGAGAAGGGGUCUCACUAUGUUGUCUGGAGUGCUGUGGUGGAGUGGAGUGGCUAUUCACAGAGCCUGUUCUGCUGGGACACAGAAUCACUUGCUCCAUCUCAUACAUUGAUGAUGAUUAAUUUGUAUGUGUACCUUCCAAAAAAGAUGGUUGUGUUUGAAUGGAGGCCUUCUGGACAGGAAAAUUGCAAAGUACAAUUAACAUUUGAGUCUGUCUGAGUCAUGAAGAAAUGGAGAUUACUGAAAAUAAUUCAUUUUGGUAUCUUCUUACAUCCUGAGAGACUAAUCUUUCCAAGUUCAUCUGAGGCUCCUCUUCUCCAUGACAACCUCAUCCAGGGAUUUCUUCCUGUCCUGGUGUUUUAUGACAUCAUCCUCAUCUCGCUUGUAAGGAUAAUAGCCUUCCUCCAAACCUCACACACUUUUGGAGGAGAUCACUUUUUUUAAAGUGCAUGGAAAUGUUUUGAAACAGUGAAAUCUAUAAUGAUAGGUUUCAUAAUUCUAACAUCCACACCAUAUGAAUCACAUCCUUCCUGAGAUAAUGAGCACACAAUUGCCUGGAUACCUGAAGGAAUGGAGACAGCGGCAGAAAACACUGCAGAGAGGUGGAAACAUCCGUUAAUAUUUUAAAAUCCCAUUACUGCUACCAACAAUAAUAAUGGAUGCAUAGAAAUAGAUCUGGAUUAGCUGAGCUUGAAACAGUCCAUCUCACACACACACAAAAGAAUUUCAGGUAAUGAAGAAAAGAAAA
rnacentral:lncRNA from 1 species